CCUACGGGUGGCAGCAGUGAGGAAUAUUGGUCAAUGGGCGCGAGCCUGAACCAGCCAAGUAGCGUGAAGGAUGACUGCCCUACGGGUUGUAAACUUCUUUUAUAAAGGAAUAAAGUGCGGCACGUGUGCCUUUUUGUAUGUACCUUAUGAAUAAGGAUCGGCUAACUCCGUGCCAGCAGCCGCGGUAAUACGGAGGGUCCGAGCGUUAUCCGGAUUUAUUGGGUUUAAAGGGAGCGUAGAUGGGUUGUUAAGUCAGUUGUGAAAGUUUGCGGCUCAACCGUAAAAUUGCAAUUGAAACUGGCAGGCUUGAGUGCAGUUGAGGUAGGCGGAAUUCGUGGUGUAGCGGUGAAAUGCUUAGAUAUCACGAAGAACUCCGAUUGCGAAGGCAGCUUACUAAACUGCAACUGACGUUGAUGCUCGAAAGUGUGGGUAUCAAACAGGAUUAGAUACCCCAGUAGUC
rnacentral:rRNA from 1 species